rnacentral:rRNA from 1 species
AGGACGAACGCUGGCGACGUGCUUAACACAUGCAAGUCGAGCGGAAAGGCCCUUCGGGGUAUUCGAGCGGCGAACGGGUGAGUAACACGUGAGUAAUCUGCCCCUAGCUCUGGGAUAGCUCCGGGAAACCGGGAUUAAUACCAGAUACGACCACUUUAGACAUCUGUUGUGGUGGAAAGAAUUUUGGCUAGGGAUGAGCUCGCGGCCUAUCAGCUUGUUGGUGAGGUAACGGCUCACCAAGGCGACGACGGGUAGCCGGCCUGAGAGGGCGACCGGCCACACUGGGACUGAGACACGGCCCAGACUCCUACGGGAGGCAGCAGUGGGGAAUAUUGCGCAAUGGGCGAAAGCCUGACGCAGCGACGCCGCGUGGGGGAUGAAGGCCUUCGGGUUGUAAACCCUUUCAGCAGGGACGAAGCGAAAGUGACGGUACCUGCAGAAGAAGCGCCGGCUAACUACGUGCCAGCAGCCGC